AUUGAACGCUGGCGGCAGGCCUAACACAUGCAAGUCGAGCGGACGAAGGGAGCUUGUUCCUGGAUUCAGCGGCGGACGGGCGAGUAAUGCCUAGGAAUCUGCCUGGUCGUGGGGGAUAACGUCCGGUAACGGGCGCUAAUAUCGUAUCCGUUCAGAGGGUGAAAGUGGGGGUUCUACGGACAUCACGCUACCUGAUGAGACUACGUCGGAUUAGCUAGUUGGUUGGGUAAAGGCCUACCAAGGCGACGAUCCGUAACUGGUCUGAGAGGAUGAUCAGUCACACUGGAACUGAGACACGGUCCAGACUCCUACGGGAGGCAGCAGUGGGGAAUAUUAGUCAAUGGGCGAAAGCCUGAUCCAGCCAUGCCGCGUGAGUGAAGAAGGUCUUCGGAUUGUAAAACACUGUAAAUAGGGAUGAACGGCAGUAAAUUGAUACCUUGCUUUUUUGACGUUACCUACAGAAUAAGCACCGGCUAACUACGUG
rnacentral:rRNA from 1 species